GGUGUCGUAGGCAAAUUGGCUAAGCCGCCUGUCUUUCAAGCAGGAGAUUGCGGGUUCAAGUCCCGUCGGCACUACUA
rnacentral:tRNA from 1 species